UCCGCGGCGGCUGCGCGGGCCGGGCCGUGUCCCCGUGUCCCCGUCCCCACCCGCGGGCUUCCCGCGUGCCCCUGCGACCUGCUGCCGUGACGCUGUCCCGCUCCUUCCUUGCCUUCCUGAGGAGCCCCCGCGGGGACGAGCGGCCUCCCCACUCGAGUCCCGGGAGCUUUUUCCUGCUGUUCCCCUUAGCCCUGAAGGACACAACAGGCACAGCGUGGCGCUUGGGUUUCUCCCCGGUUCCAUCGGGAUCGCUACCAGGGCUGCAGUUCCCACCUGCAGCCAGGUUCCUCCCAAACAGCCUUUUGAUCCAGAGUAUUUUGCAGGUGAAAGUCCUGCAGGAAGCUUACAGUCAACCACGCUUGGUUUAACUGCUUAACUUCUCUCUUUCAGCCUAAAUCACCACAGGAGACACGUUACUUCAGUGUCACGGCACAUGUGGAGACGCUGGUUUUCUGCUGGGACUUGGUUUCUGGUCCUGCUUUGCUCUGACCCGGUGUGUCUGUUCUGGCAGUCGGUGAUGGAGAAGUGUGGCAUUCACAGCAGCUCACUAAGGACACACACCAAAGCCAGCAAUUCCAGAAUCAGACUUGCCUUAACAAUGCUUGCAGGACAGAGCUCCUGAAGCUGGGAGGCUGGCAGCUGCUGAACCAGUGACCUUCAAGUCCAGUAAACUUUAACUUUGUUAGCUUUGGAGGAAUGUGUGAUUCCUGACUCCUGUGCCAGAACAACUGCUUGUGGGAUGGUGCUGGUGCUGUUGACCAAGGAGAAUCCCAGCAAUACAGAAGGAACCCAACAGGAGGUGUUGAGGCUGGCAAAGCCAGGCUCCCCAGAGCUCCCUGGGCCUACAGCCUGUUCUGAUCCACAGUACGGCUGUGCAAGAACCUGUGGUCACUUCCUGGGAAAUGACUGUCAUCUCCUGCCUGUGAACUGCUUUGGAAUGGUUUCCUGUUUUCAGCCCCUUUAAGAUGUGCAGUGUGGCUCCCCUGCCUUUCAGCAUUGUGAAAAUUUUCAUUUGCAGCUUAAAGAUUGUGGUUGCUCCCCUCAGCUUUAAAUGUUCAGCGAGUGGCUUUGUGGAGUCACACUGACAGCCCAGUGCUUCAGCAGAAAAAGCUGCCUGCUGGAGCCACUCAGCAACUCCCUGAAAUCUGCAAGCAAAUUAUAUACACGUCUUAUUCCGAGGUGUUAUCAACUUGCAGCCACUAUGUUAGUACUAACAAAAGCCUGUACCGUGAUAUCAACUCUCAGUCAAGUUGAAGCACAUUUCUGAUGUUUGAGGCUGGGAAAACUGAUUGAACACCUGGAAUCAGCAGCCUCAGAGAAGCAGUUGCUUCAGUGCCUCCCUGGCCGUGCAGACAGAUUGGACUGGGGAGCCUCACCAAGUGAGGUACUUGUCAUGUCAGACCACCUGGCUGCAGCUGUGAUCACCUGAAGCUUUAGAGAGACCCAUUUAUUUACUCAGACCUACAAAACCAUACAGAACAUCUCCCAAGAAUGAGCUUUUCUUAACAUAACCCAAAUAAGCUGGAGCUGAGUAAAUGAUCACGCAACAGUCACAGUAAAAGACCAUUUUGCUGCAGUUAAUGUCACAGGCAUGAUCCCAGCAUGCCACAUUUGCUGAUCCUAUACAAUUCAACAAAGGCAAAGAGAAAUGCAGAACUACUAUCUCCAAAAACCAUUUAUUCUUGUUGCCACUUCGGUCUUCCCAGGGCUCGGAAUGGGAAAGCUUGAUUCUGUUACGUGAAGAUACUUAGUAAUCUUGGAAGUCCUUUGACUCAUUAUCAGCCCAACAGUGUGGAACUGUUGAGUGGGUAUUAAAAUAUGGAGAUGUGUAGGCUCGUAA